rnacentral:lncRNA from 1 species
CAGGAUUCCUGGGCGUCCCUGGAGGCUGCCUUCUGCCGCCUUUCGGAUUCAUCUGAGCGGUUGGCUUUUAUUCCCCUACCCUCACCCCGAAUCGUUCCUUGCUGGGAGGGCAGUGGGACGCUGGAAGGAAGGCGCCAGGUGGAAGGUGGCCUGGGAGGCAGAUGGCGGCGUACGGCCCAGGCACAAAGUUUUCAUCUGCUCUGCAAACGCGGUGCUGUGCCGUCGGCCUCUGUAUUUCUGAAUCCAAUUAACAUAAAAUACUCUGGGGCGGGAGCCGGCUGCGUUCGGGAUAAUCGCGCAGAGCGAACCGGGCUUUACAAAAUUAAAGGACUUUUUGGUCCCGGGGCUUGCUCCGGGAAGGGGGGCGGCGAGCCACGCAGCCCGGGGCGGGGCGGCGGGCGGAGGCGGCCCCCGGCGCCCGCCGUCUCCCGGGGUUGCCACAACAGACCCCGCGCGCCGCGCCCGAGUCGCCGCCGGGGCCCGAGCGGCCGGGGCAGGUGCGGAGGGGCGCGGACCUCCGGGUGGGAGACGUCCGGGGCGGGCCGCGCACGCGGGUCCUGGGCCGCGCGCGCCCUUCGGCGGCGAGACGACCCCUCCCCCACCCUCUCCGGCCCCAGCCGCCCGCGCAGGGGCCGAGGGGAGGGACCGCCGAGCGCCCCCGCGAGGAGCCCCCAGCCCGGGCUGCAGCGCCGGGCGGGGCCGCGGCGCCCCCCACCCACCCCCCGACACCUGAGCGGCCGAGGCUCCAGCGACUCCGGCGCUCGGGCCGGACUGGGCGCGGCGCCGCUCGGGUCCCCGCGGCCGAACCAGGUGCGCGCGGACGUCGGCCCUCCCCGGGGGCUCUCACCCCGCCCGACUCCCGAGCGGCUGCCAGAGCAAGCUUUCGAAGUCCCUCCAGUCUCUGUGCCUUGGCCCACCGGAAUACUGACAGCGCCUGUUCCAAGAAGUUUUUCUGCAGGACCCCGUCUGCCAACAGCUCUGGUGAGUUCAAGCAUUUCCUCCUUGUCCUUUUCACCUGUAAGCUGGUCACCCCUGUUAUGCUGUGGUCUGCCUCUCACCCCUUCUGCACUGUGGCCAGAGGAUUGUCAUUUCCUUGAGAUUGGGCCCCUGGUUUUGUGUUAG